CAAAAUAAAUUGGGAAUAGCGACAGAAUGAUAGGGGCGGUUUCAUAUAAACCGUCGCCGCUAUGUUAUUUAAACACUUUGCCGACCGUUCUUUCGAAACCGUCGUGGCUGAGAUCUGAAAAUAACGCGCUUCCCCUUUCUCUUUUUCCUCUUCUUCUUUUCUCACUCACAAUUUGUCUUUUAUCGAAGGAAAUUGGAACAAACAACAACAACCGUCUCAUUUUUCUCUGAGAAUUGUUCAACCCUAAGUUUCAUUUCAGCAAAUCUUCGAUUCUAAAAAUCGUUCAAUUGAGUUUCAGUUCAACUUCGAUUCAUAAUCGUUCUCUCAUUCAGAAUCUUUCAUCCCUCAAGGUUCAGAAUCGUUCAAUUGAAUUUCAGUUCAACUUUCAGAAUCGUUCAUCUCUCAAGAUUUGGAAUCGUUCAAUUGAAUUUCCGUUCAACUUCAGCUAUUCAGAAUCGUUCUCUCAAGCUUCGAUUCAGCAAAGCUAGGACGAAAUCCUUCUUAGCUUAUCAGGCUUCAAUUCAGUUUCUCAACAAAGCUUCGAUUCAUAACCUCUCAAGCUUAAAUUUAGUUUUGUUCAUUGUUCAACGCAGCUACUGAACAGGUAAAGAGGACAAUAAAUGAAUGAGGUUUUAACUAUUAAGAAUAGUUAUAUGCUUUAAGUUGUAUGAUAAGGUUUGUAUUUUGUUUUGGUUUGUGGGCUGCUGUUCUGUAGUAGAGUUUUCUGGUUUUGGGGUACGGCAGCUGCAGAUUAGUCGGGUUACUAGUUUCGUAUUGGAUGUUUCUCUCAUUCCUCCCAAUUCAUUACUUCGGACUGUUAGUAUUUUGGCUCAAAGUACUGGUUUUUAACUUCUAUUAUAAUUCUUUUGCUCACAUAUUUUGAUUGAACUAGCAUAAAAAAACUACUAUUUUUUAUUUGAGAUAUGGACUAUUGGUUAAGAAUGAAUCUUUUUUGUUUUAAUGUUAAAUGGUAAUCGGUGCAUAAUUCUUGUUAUGUUAUACCUUAGCACAUUAUUGUUGGUUUCAAUUCUUUUCUUUUGAUUCAUACCUUCAACCUCAUCUAUGACAUCUUUGUCAUUGACACACAAUCAGACACUACUCGUUUAUAAUGCUAUUGUUUAUUUACGAUUUCUGGAGAACUAGAAAGUACCUGAGUAUAUAGGACAAUUGUUUUAGUCCACUUUUUCUAAGGAAACUGCAAAACCUUUCAUCUGUCAAUGUCUAUUAACUAGCUAUAAAAUUGGCUGCUAGUACUUCCAAUUCCUCUAUACCUCCAUGGGCUAGAGGGUAAGUAAGUUAUGUUCUUUUUCUUGUGUUGAUUGUAAUGUUAGAGGUUUUAGUUAAGCAUAUGUGAUAACUUGAAUCACUUUAAAUUAACUUUCAGGUUAAGAAGCUACAUCUAGUCUAGAGGGAAGAUUAAAGCAAAUAGUAGAUAAAGAUCUAAUUUGAGAGUGACUUAGUUGAAUUGGAAGAAAUGGUACAUGUUGCAUUCUUGUGUGCACAUUUUAGGUGACUUUGUUGAUUAUGUGGAUUGCAUAUCCCUAACUCUAAGCAUCAAUUGUAAAUAUUAUAGUAUAUGAUCAAGCCUUCUAAAUUAGUAAUUGUCCUUUUUACCUCUUUUUUUUUCCUACAAUGUUGAACUGUGUGUGUUUGAUUUUGAUGAAGGGUGUGGAACUAAUCUGAUUCAAGAUCACAAGGUAUGUGGUAAAGGUACAGUGGUCCUAUGAAAACUUCCUAAUUUUUCUUAUCGUUUAUCUUUUGUUUGGUUUGUGGUGUAUUAUAGGCAUGCUUAUGCAACAACUUUUCUUCUUAUUGUUUAAAUGAGCAAGUUGCAGUUGACAACAUAAACUCAUUUAAAUUGAUAUGUAUGUGUUUGUUGAAACUUUCUGAAGAUUCAAUUGAUGUACUUCAGGGGAUAUUUGGUUAGUAGAGAAGUGGAGUUAAAGCCAUUACUUUAUUACAGUAUUUAGUAUUUUCCUCUGCAGGAGUAACUGAACUGAUUACUUUUGGUAUUUGGUAUUUAAUUUAGAUUUGAAUCCCUUGAAUAAAAUUGAUGCAUGUAGGAGUUUAUUGGGUAGAUGAAAAAGGGAAAAGGAGUGUUGCGUGAACGUCAAACGUUGAAACUCGCUCUGAAAGAUGAAAAAGGGCAAAGGCUGUAAGAUUGGUUGUAUUUGGAGAUUCAACACCAUUUCAUAAGGACGAAGUUUCGAAUGUUCAAGAACGUUUAGAUUUAGUUUGGUUAGGCGUGUUUUAGUAGUAGUCUAAGAUUAUGUUUUUUCCACUAGUGUUGCUGUCAUUUGAAGUGUUCUACUUGCCAUACAAAAUUAUGUUUUAUUUGUUGAUUAUAGUUUUUGAUUUUUUUGAAUUAA